rnacentral:rRNA from 1 species
UACGUAGGGUGCGAGCGUUGUCCGGAAUUAUUGGGCGUAAAGGGCUCGUAGGCGGUCUGUCGCGUCGGGAGUGAAAACACGGGGCUUAACCCCGUGCCUGCUUCCGAUACGGGCAGACUAGAGGUAUGCAGGGGAGAACGGAAUUCCUGGUGUAGCGGUGAAAUGCGCAGAUAUCAGGAGGAACACCGGUGGCGAAGGCGGUUCUCUGGGCAUUACCUGACGCUGAGGCGCGAAAGCUAGGGUAGCAAACGGG